GCACAACUUCCCACAUAUAGUUGUUAGUGUAAUAAAUUUUUUGUAAAGAUUCCUUUUUUCAUUUAAUAAUAAGUAAUGAUCACCUUCCACACCAUUAAAUAUUUUUCUGGAGCAUAAUUUUGAGUAGUUUUAUGGUGACAGACAUUACUUAACAAGUCUAAUGUUAGAUAUUUAGAUUUAAAGUGUUUUCAUGUUUUAAAUAAUCCAUGAGAGUGGGAGGCAUUUUUAACAUUAGUACAUAAUGUUUGAGGAAAAACUUACUUUGGACAUAAAAGCAUGAGGAUGGAGGGGAGGGAGGGUUUUCUAGGAAGUAGAGAUGAAGGAUGGUGUGGUGUGUAGCAGAGUGGUGUCCAUAGAAACAGCUGGGACCUUCACCUUCCUCCUGUUCAUUCAUCUAACAGAUGGGGCUAGUCACAUAUCUUUUCUUUCCUUACAGGCUUUUAUUCAACCCCAAACUUAUAGGAAUAACUACUGGAUUGGGUUAUCAUAUGAUAAUAGAGAACAAAAAUGGAAAUGGAUUGACACUGGCCCACCUUUCGGGAUGUAAGUCUCUGGAAUGCAUUCAAGCUCCAACAUUGAUUGUGUUGGGGUUGGGAAGAUUGUAUCUAGAAAGAAUCUUCUCUUGUUUCACAUGGUUUUCACACAGACAUCAUUGUAAGAAUAAGUAGAAUGAUGAAGAAUAUAUUUUAGGGAGUGUAAUUAAAAAGGAAGAGAAAUGUCAUGCAGAUUAUGAACAAAAUUUGAUGCUAAGCACAUGCCCGUAAGUAUGCAUUAUGAGGUACACCAAAUAAACCCAAAUCAUAAGGUGAUAUGAAGGGAUUGGACCAUCCUGAAUGAGCUAUAGUAUCCCUCCCACAGUCACAAGUUAAGUAUUUCAGGAUCCCCAAGUUCAUUUGAAACUUCUUUAUAGGUGGUCCCUGACUGACAAUGGUUUGAGUUACAAUUUCUCUACUUCACAAUGGUGUGAAAUCAACAUCCAUUCAGUAGAAACUACUUUGGAUUUUUAAUUUGAUCUUUCCCUGGGCUGGUGUUGUGCAGUAUGAUCUUCUGCUGUGACGCUGGGUGGUGGCAGCUGGAGCUCCCAGUGAGACACGUGAUCACAAGGGUCAACAACCCAGUACACUUGCACACAUCCUUUACCCAUAUGGUCAUUCUGGUUUUCACUUUCAGUAUAGUAUUCAGUAAAUCCCAUGAGAUGCUCAGCACGUUAUUAUAAGAUGGGUUUUGUGUUAGAUGAUUUUUGUCUAAGUGUGCUGAUCCUAUUUAAGGUAGACUAGGCUAAGCUAGUAGGGUGAGUAUGUUACAUGCAUUGUUGACUUAUGGUAUUUUCAAUUUGUGUUGGGUUUAUCAGGACAUAACACCAUCAAACAAUCUGUAUAUUAUUAGUUUAUAUUAUUUAUAAAUACAAAUAUAAGUGAGUAUAUACACACACACGCAUACAUACUUAUGCCUUUACUGUAGUUUUUUUUGGGUUUGUUGUUUGUUUCUUUGUUUGUUUAACUAAUGUCUACACCCAGGGUGGGGCUCAAACUCAUGACGUGAGAUCAAGAAUCACAUGCUUUUCCAACUGAGCCAUCCAGGCAUCCCCAUAGUUUUAUUUUGAAGUGCAGUAUUCUGUGAACUCUUGGGUUUGCAUUUAGUUAUAGUCUUCUGUUAAAGUGUUCAGUGAUUUUUUUAAAAAUGUUAACUUUUAUCCUUUUCUGUUUCUAGGGAUUCUAGUUUAACUUUUAAAAUCUUCCUAGUUAUUCACAAAUUCAAGCUGUCUUUUAUUUCUCGAAAGAUAUCAAACAUGCUUAUUUUAUAUUCAGUAUCUGAUAAUUCUAAUAUUUGAAGUUUUGUGGGUCUACUCUAUAGUUUCUGCUGGCUUUUGUUCAUGGUGUCAUUUUCUUUGUAGUGUAUAGUGAUUUUUUUUCUUUUUGAGCUGCUGUGGAGAUUAUUUGAGGACUGAGAUGAAGGUGGCUGCAAACUUAGAAGAGAUGUCAUGCAGGAAAUUACCUUGAUGCAGUCAUAGCGUUAACUAUACAUUCAUGAGUUUUUCUGGAAGAGGACAAUGUGCAUUUGUAACCUCAACAAGAACAACACCUAUCGAGUGCUCUAAGACCUAUGGGUAUCUGUGAGGGGAGAAUUGAUGAUGUUUUCUCUGCCCACUUUGAUAGAUACAAGAAAAAAAGAGAGAGAGAGAGAAAGAGCAAGAAAGCACAAGCAGGGGGAGCGGCAGAAGCAGGCUC